GACGAACGCUGGCGGCGUGCUUAACACAUGCAAGUCGAACGGAAAGGCCUGCUUUCCCUUGUGGAUUGCGGGUGCUCGAGUGGCGAACGGGUGAGUAACACGUGAGUGAUCUGCCCCCAACUUGGGUAUAAGCCUGGGAAACUGGGUCUAAUUCCCGAUAGGACUGCAGGGUGGUGCCUGUGGUGGAAAACGAUUUUCUAGUGGUUGGGGAUGAGCUCGCGGCCUAUCAGCUUGUUAGUGGGGUAAUGGCCUACCAAGGCGGCGACGGGUAGCCGGCCUGAGAGGGUGGACGGCCACAUUGGGACUGAGAUACGGCCCAGACUCCUACGGGAGGCAGCAGUGGGGAAUAUUGCACAAUGGGCGGAAGCCUGAUGCAGCGACGCCGCGUGGGGGAUGACGGCCUUCGGGUUGUAAACUCCUUUCGACCGCGAGGAAGCCACCUGGUUGGAAGGGUGGUGACGGUAGUGGUAGAAGAAGCACCGGCUAACUACGUG
rnacentral:rRNA from 1 species